CACUCUAAAAAAAAAGGUUCCUUGAGGUUCUAUAUAGAACCGUUGGGUUCUAUACUUGGCCAAUAGAACCUUUUACCAAAAAAAGGGUUCCAUAUAGAACCCUUGGAAGGCAAAGAACCAUUUUUAUUAAAAUGGUUCUAUAAUUCACGUUUUCUGACUGAAGUGUAAACUAAAGAUUACACAAUAAUUGCAGACCUACACAACUCAUUUACAAACCUACACAACUCAUUCACAAACCUUUUUGUGUCAAUAGGCUGUGGUCAAAAAAAGAGAGAGUCAACAAAUAGGCUAUUAAUAUUUAGUGUAUGAUUUAUUUCCUGUGAGCUUUUUUAUGCAAGUUUGUACAUUAGCAUGAAACUUACAGUGCAGUUUGCGUUUCUGGUGAAUUAUCAGGUGUUUUCUUUAUUUUGUACAUUCUAUAUUGUCAAUGUUUGUUUAAUUUAACCUGAAGGGGCAUUAAAAACAAAUAAUCGCAAAAGUGCCCUCUGGUGGCGUAUAUUUGCGUUGCACCAGAAGAUGAGCCUCGUGACGUGACAGUUUUUUUUCAAACUGAGGUGAGGAGUUCGGACUCCGGACCGGCAUUUCUGCUUGUUUGUACCCUGUCCAUGAGAUAACCAUGGUUAAUAAAUGGUCAGACACGUCACUGGCUUUAAAAUAUAAACCCCAUUGAUGCAAAAAGAUGCUGCAUGGAAUGACAAUGAGGUUUGGAACAGACUUGGUGAAGAACAUGGAAACAUCUCUAAAUAAAAUGGCGCCAAACAUCAUCAGGAGUGCAAAAGAAGGAAGUAAAAAACAUCUCUACGCCAAUCUCAUUGGAGAGGAAACCACAGAAGGAACCCAAAGGUCCCACACCAACCAUAGUGUUCAACGGCUCUCCUGAUCUUCUCAAAUCUGAAAGUAUCAACUGUAUAAUGGACAAUGUGAACUUAAUAUGUGGAAGACAUUGACAUCACAGGCUGUGGAAUGACUGUGUCACAGGUCGGAGAAGCGGACCGCCCCUGUCGCGGAUCACGCUCCUCCUAGUUCCACCUUGAGGAGGUCCCAAAGCACCCCAAUGACCAGACAAACCAGAGAUAAGUAAAAUAUAAAAAUAGAAACUUUAUUUAAAUGAUCUAAAACUAAAGUGGGGAAUGGGAAAGGGAAUCUAAAAAUCUCGCUUCUCGCCCUCAGGGGGAGUAUUAAGGGGCCAGGGACGUUGGAGGGGUUUCCACGUGACUCCACCUCGAACACCGCUACAGAGCGUAUCUGGCUGGGUUGGGCACACACCAUCGCGGCGGCCCCUGAUGGCAUCCACAAAGGUCCAAGACCCUCCUAAGCUCCCAGCCGUAGCAGAACUACGUAUUUCAGCACCCGAACGACUAACAACCCAGCCGGCAUCUGCAGCGUAUAUCCAACGCGAUCAAACUUCACUCUGACAAUUAACUUCCUAUACACAACCACGCCGUCCUUUCGCCCGGACCAGCCCCGCACUCUUUCCGCCCGCUACCUAGCGGUCGCCGGAUCAGCAGAGCCUGCUGACUCUUCGGAGUCUGGUCUUCGUUGUGCUGCCCAAGGCGGAAGUUUACUUCCAGUAACUUCUACCUUCUCUCUUUAUAUCCCCAACCAUCGCUCGCCACGUCACUCACACAGCUGUGCCUUGUUUCAGCGAGUGCGGGGAUUCCCGAGGAACCCGGAAGUGCCGGUGUCUGUACAAACUGGUCCGGGCAGAACCUCUUCACUCUACUUUUGGUUCCGCCCCGCAUAGUCACUCUGUGACAACUGUUUGCGUUUUUUUUUUCUCCUCAAUGUUCAAUACCCUUUUGCCAUUAAGCAUACAGUGACUUUAAUUUAUAAAAUAUAUGCUUAAGUUUUAAUACCUGUACAAAACAAAUGUACAAUCAACUUGUGUAAGUUGUCAUUCUAUUUAAUAGAUUGUUCAUGAAUUGUCUUUAAAUGCAUUGUGAUUUCGGUAACACUUUACAAUAAGUUUCAUUAGUUAACAUUAGUUAAUGUAUUAACUAACUUGAACAAACCAUGAGCAAUACAUUUGUUACAGUAUUUAUUCAUCUUUGUUAAUGUUAGUUAAUUCAAAUUUAAGCUUUAAUUGCUUGUUCAUGUUAGUUCAGAGUGCAUUAACUAAUGUUAACAAGAUUUUAAUAAAGUAUAAGUAAUUGUUGAAAUUAACAUUAACAAAGAUUAAUAAAGGCUGUAUAAGUGCAGUUCAUUAUUAGUUCAUGUUAACUAAUGUAGCUAACUAAUGUUAACUAAUGAACCUUAUUGUAAAGUGUUACCGUGAUUUCUUUUCAUCAUUUCAGACACAUGUAAGUUACUAAAAAUUAGUACUGCAUAUACUGUACAGUAUCUAUGCGUAAGGGAAAUAACUUGAACAAAAUUUUUAAUGUAUAGUGUAAUUAAGAGUUUUUUUGGAGUGUUUAAUACAGAGAUGCAAUUUAUUUAUUUAUGUAUAAACGUAUGUAUGUUUAUUAAAAAAGUGAAAAUGCUUAAUGGAAAUAAUUAAAUAACUAAAUGGUUGAAUGUAAUGAGACAUUUUAAAUGUAAACUAAAGUUUUGCUGUCUAAUACAGAAUAAAGAGAUGUGAUUUUAAGUAAUUUUUAUAGAUUUAUAUUUCUGUAUAAUAAAAUUAAUAAAUAAUAAACUUUUAUAAUUUUCUGGA